UUACAGUCUACAGUUAAUUAAGAUCGUUCAACAAAUGAGAGGGAGUUAUAUUAAGUUUGGUCAUACUGAAACAACCAUUGUCUACAUUGGGUGUGGUCUUUGGUGAACUAUAUUCUUGAUUUGCUGUUUCGUCUUUAUACAAUUAGUUUUGAACUGAUAAGUGAGAGCAAUUGUAUGUUUAUUUGAAUUCCACUGAAAUAAAACUUUUCUGCAUUGGCAUUACUCUUGGAUUGGUUCGCUUUUCACACCUACAAACUUUGGAACAUUACAGUCUACAGAUAAUUAAGAUCGUUCAACAAAUGAGAGGGAGUUGAAAGUUCAGUUUGGUCGUACUGAAACAACCAUUGUCUUCAUGGGUGUGGUCUUUGGUGAACUACAUUCUUGAUUUGCUGUUUUCGUCUUCGCUUUGCAUCACUGUGCACUUGGUUUUGAACUGAUGAAUGAGAGCAACUGGAUAUUUAUUUGAUUUCCACUGAAAUAAGGAAUUUUAUGCAUUGGCAUUAUUCCUGAAUUUGGUUUGCUUUUCACACCUGCAAACUUUGGAACAUUACAGUCUACAGUUAAUUAAGAUCGACGUUAGAGAAGACAAAGAUG
rnacentral:lncRNA from 1 species